GACGAACGCUGACGGCGUGCCUAAUACAUGCAAGUUGAGCGCUGAAGGUUGGUACUUGUACCGACUGGAUGAGCAGCGAACGGGUGAGUAACGCGUGGGGAAUCUGCCUUUGAGCGGGGGACAACAUUUGGAAACGAAUGCUAAUACCGCAUAAAAACUUUAAACACAAGUUUUAAGUUUGAAAGAUGCAAUUGCAUCACUCAAAGAUGAUCCCGCGUUGUAUUAGCUAGUUGGUGAGGUAAAGGCUCACCAAGGCGAUGAUACAUAGCCGACCUGAGAGGGUGAUCGGCCACAUUGGGACUGAGACACGGCCCAAACUCCUACGGGAGGCAGCAGUAGGGAAUCUUCGGCAAUGGAAGAAAGUCUGACCGAGCAACGCCGCGUGAGUGAAGAAGGUUUUCGGAUCGUAAAACUCUGUUGGUAGAGAAGAACGUUGGCGAGAGUGGAAAGCUCAUCAAGUGACGGUAACUACCCAGAAAGGGACGGCUAACUACGUG
rnacentral:rRNA from 1 species